rnacentral:rRNA from 1 species
GACGAACGCUGGCGGCGUGCUUAACACAUGCAAGUCGAACGGAAAGGCCCUGCUUUGGUGGGGUGCUCGAGUGGCGAACGGGUGAGUAACACGUGAGUAACCUGCCCUUGACUUUGGGAUAACUUCAGGAAACUGGGGCUAAUACCGGAUAGGAGCUCCUGCUGCAUGGUGGGGGUUGGAAAGGUUCGGCGGUUGGGGAUGGACUCGCGGCUUAUCAGCUUGUUGGUGGGGUAGUGGCUUACCAAGGCUUUGACGGGUAGCCGGCCUGAGAGGGUGACCGGCCACAUUGGGACUGAGAUACGGGCCAGACUCCUACGGGAGGCAGCAGUGGGGAAUAUUGCACAAUGGGCGGAAGCCUGAUGCAGCAACGCCGCGUGCGGGAUGACGGCCUUCGGGUUGUAACCCGCUUUCGCCUGUGACGAAGCGUGAGUGACGGUAAUGGGUAAAGAAGCACCGGCUAACUACGUG